rnacentral:rRNA from 1 species
AACGCGAAGAACCUUACCUGGGCUUGAACCGCACAGGACCAGCUUCAGAAAUGAGGCCUUCCCGCAAGGGACCUGUGUAGAGGUGCUGCAUGGCUGUCGUCAGCUCGUGUCGUGAGAUGUUGGGUUAAGUCCCGCAACGAGCGCAACCCUUGUGAACUGUUGCUACCCAGCACUUCGGUGUUGGGGCACUCUGUUCAGACUGCCCUGUGAAACGGGGAGGAAGGUGGGGACGACGUCAAGUCAGGAUGGCCCUUACGCCCAGGGCUGCACACGUACUACAAUGCUCAGUACAGAACGAACCGAAAUCGCGAGGUGGAGGAAAUCACUAAAACUGAGCCCAGUUCGGAUUGUAGGCUGCAACUCGCCUACAUGAAGCCGGAAUCGCUAGUAAUGGCGUAUCAGCUACGACGCCGUGAAUACGUUCCCGGGCCUUGUACACACCGGUAUCUC